UAGGAUGAGGAUGAGUUUCAGUUGC
rnacentral:piRNA from 1 species